UUGGCUAGGCCGUUGCCACGGCAGCCAUCACUCACCAGCUCCAUUCACCCGAUCCGUUGGUAAAUUGAGGCUUACUUAGUAAUACAUAAAAAUAUCCCACUUCUCCGUGCCGAAGAUUUCAAUUAAAGCCGACGCUUCAAGUGCCCGCAAUUGCGGUAAUUAGAAAAGCAAUCACAGUGACAGGACCUACGCAUAUCGAUAUAAUUGUGGGGCGGUGGUUGGACGGUUGGCUUAGUUUCGUCGAAGUGCUGGGUGGGCUGGUGGUUUGCUGGGUGGUGGUUGGCUUAGUGGGUGGAUGGAUGGCUUCAUUGUUUCAGUGGUUCAGUUGGUUCAGGUCAGACUAUGCAAAUUUACUUGGCACACAUCGCUUUGUCCCUGUCUAUGUUGCUCUCCCUUCUGGUCUUGCUCUGUGUUCCACCCCCGCCCCAAUCUCGUUUUCCCCUCUACCAAUUCGCUGGCUCCUCCGCAUUCGUGGCUGGCCAUCGCUCGGCAUAAAUAACAAGAGAAACCUGUUAAUCGGGCUAAUUGCAUAAAUUAUAAUGGAUAAUGGGCACGCACAAAUGGAACACUGCAAGGACAUCCCAGCCAGGAUGGCAACUGAAAACGUUUCCGUUUAAACCCAAAAAGUGCCUCAACUCAAGUUUUAUUAAAAUAAAUUUCCAGUUCUAGCUAACAUGUAAAGUUAAUAAUCAAAAUCUGAAGCAAAUACAGCGAUGUCAGCGGCAGACAUCUCUCACUUCAAAGUGAAAAUCAAUUUCUCUUUAAGCAAUUUCCAAUGGAAUUGAAUUUUCAUUAGACAACAACGCAGCAGGAAGAGCAGCGAAAUGGGGGAGGAAUUGGCGCUCGGUUGCCGGGAAACGGCGGCUGGCGAUUGAAUUUCCAUAAAUCCCGCGCUGCGACCCCUUAACCCGUUUUGCCAUUUACCGACACUUAAAGGCUCUCUCGUGCUUUGGAGCUGAAGUUUUGUUUGUAGGCGAGUUUUGGCCCUAAAAGAAAUGGCUUGAAUGCGGCGGAGAAGUGGGGAGAGUUGGGGCCGCUUUGAUUGACGGCUGAGUCGCUUGUCAUUUGCCAGGACCUGCUUGCCUCUGCUCCUGACAGUUUUUCGCCUAUGAUAAAAGCCAACUGCCUGCAUAAAUAACAUAUUGAGGAAUUGACAAAUCGUAGAGGAUACAGAACGUGCUGGCAAAUAUUUAUAGAGGCAAGGGAGUCCUGUGCGUCAAUGGCGGCCACAAGUAUGUCACAAAUAAUUUUAAUUAUUUAGAAAACUCAACGGCAGACGCAAUAUUCGAGCCGAGCAAGGACAACUAUCCGACCAGAGGUCCUGCGAGAGCCUUCUCCAGGAUAAAGCUAACGAAAUAUAUUUUAUGCCAUUCAAAACUUUCUCCCAGGACUCGACUCAUCACAAUAAAUCAAAUCAAAAGCUUGCGUAGAGAACAGGGGACAGGACCGACUGGCUGACCAUUGUUCGGCUUGCCCUGUCUGCCACUCAUCAAUUUUUGAAAAUUAUUAAAAAUUUAAAUGGAAUUCCGAAAUGCUUGAAAUGCACUCCACACAAACACACGGCCACACAAAACCAUAGAGAGCUGGCCGUAACAAGGAUAUGGCAAUAUAUCCAUCGUCCUUCGGUGGAUGAGUUGUUGUCGUUAUUUGUGUGUCAGCCAUGUCAAACAUUUUCCCAUUCCAUCGAUGCCAUGCGUAUGAAAUUUUAAUUUUAAUUGUUCGCCAAAUGCGCCGGACAAAAUAAGUUCACAGGACAUAUAUACAUGUAUAUGCAUAUGUACAUGUGUAUUUUCCAUGUACGUGCAUAUAUCUAAAGGAUACUUGUUUUCGAGUGGUAUGCCAUUCAAUAUACAUACGUAUAUUUACUGCCGUCGAGAGGCGGGGGCACUUUUUAUAUGACUGACAUUUUAAUGGCCGAAAUGAAAAGCCUUUGACCGCCGGCACGCAGAUUUUCCAGCAAUAAAAACGCCUUCAAUAAAAAUUGAAGAACAAUUGCGGGCCACAAAGUCGCCUCCUUUGCGAUGUAAAGCCCGUUUUAAUGACUGCCACUUUAUUGACUUUCUUGCGGCAGUCGAAAGGAAGGAGCGGCAAGGGCAAGGACCCAAAGUGUCCAUCAUUAGCCGGCAAUCCGACCGAAAAAAUCCAUAAUUAUAAUGCACCUUACAUAACGCUUCAUUAAGAUAAUGAUAAUGAAUACAUGACCGCAAAGUGUGCGUUCGCAAGAGCGAGGCAGAGCACCACUUCCUGCUAGGUAAUGGCACGCAUGAGGAUACCGAUGUGUGUGUAUGUGUGUCAUUGUUGGAUAUGAGCUGCAUAAGUGUGUGUGGGCAUUUCUGAGAGUGGGCUAGUGGACUCUGCAUAUGCUUUCCCUGUAAAUGUAACCAGGCCCGAGGCCAGAGCGCAAAUGGCCAGCCAGCAAGUGGCAUUAACCACUUACCGCCCCAAAGGCAGCGGCGCGACAACCCUACACUGAGAAAAACCAAUGAAACUAAAUGAAAAUACCUGUCCUUGAAGCACAAUAAAGUAUUUAUGUUAGUAGUGCAUCCUUGUGCUUUCAGUUUUAAUCAAAUGUGAAUGCAGCUCAAUACAGCAACUAAUCUUGUACCAGAGCGGAUCGGAAUGUAACAGAGGAGAGACAGAAAGUAUAACUUGCCAGAGCCGAGUUGUAAGUCCUUCGUCCUGCAGACGCGCGUCGCAUGAAAUGCGGUCGAUAAUGAAUGAACCGUAAAUGAAAAUGAAAUAAUAUUUCAUCAGGCAAAGGACCAUAUAUGUAUGUAGCAUGGAAAAGGACUUGUCAAGUGGCUAUCUCUGGCUAUUUGGUUACCUCAAUAAAGUUGACCAACUCAAAAGUUUUGAACGAAAGUGAUGGUUUUAAUUAAAUUGCUGUCCCCAAGGUA